UACGGAGGGUGCGAGCGUUGUCCGGAAUCAUUGGGCGUAAAGGGCGCGUAGGUGGCCCGGUGAGUCUUUGGUGAAAGCGCGGGGCUCAACCCUGCGUCGGCCAGGGAUACUGCCGCGGCUCGAGCACUGUAGAGGCAGGCGGAAUUCCGGGUGUAGCGGUGGAAUGCGUAGAUAUCAGGAGGAACACCUGCGGUGUAGACGGCUUACUGGACCAUAACUGACGCUGAGGCACGAAAGCGUGGGUAGCAAACAGG
rnacentral:rRNA from 1 species